GGUCCACCUUCCGUCUCCAUAAUCAGAUAAUCAGAUCAGCACGCUGGUGGUGGUUGAGCUGAAAUUUGGCAUACCUGUCAAGUUCCGAUGACAAUGCAAUAUGAUGGUGGCAUCAUAUUGCAUUGUCAUCGGAACUUGACAGAUAUGCCAAAUUU
rnacentral:snoRNA from 1 species